rnacentral:rRNA from 1 species
CAAUGGCGUAUAUUAAAGUUGUUGCAGUUAAAAAGCUCGUAGUUGGAUUUCUGGUGGGAGCGAUCGGUCUGGCGCUUAGCGCGAGUACUUGCAUCGUCUCCGGCCAUCCUUGGGGAGAGUCUGUCUGGCAUUAGGUUGUCGGGCAGAGGAUCCUCAUCGUUUACUGUGAAAAAAUUAGAGUGUUCAAAGCAGGCUUAUGCCGUUGAAUAUAUUAGCAUGGAAUAAUAAGAUAGGACUUUGGUACUAUUUUGUUGGUUUGCGCACCAAAGUAAUGAUUAAUAGGGACAGUUGGGGGUAUUCGUAUUCCGUUGUCAGAGGUGAAAUUCUUGGAUUUACGGAAGACGAACUACUGCGAAAGCAUUUACCAAGGAUGUUUUCAUUA